rnacentral:rRNA from 1 species
UACGAAGGGGGCUAGCGUUGUUCGGAAUUACUGGCGUAAAGCGCGCGCAGGCGGUCUUCCAAGUCAGUGGUGAAAGCCCGGAGCUCAACUCCGGAACUGCCAUUGAAACUGUUAGACUUGAGGAUGAGAGAGGUGAGUGGAAUUCCCAGUGUAGAGGUGAAAUUCGUAGAUAUUGGAAGAACACCAGUGGCGAAGGCGGCUCACUGGCUCGAUUCUGACGCUCAGGCGCGACAGCGUGGGAUCGAAACAAGG